rnacentral:rRNA from 1 species
CGGGUGAGUAAUGCCUAGGAAUCUGCCUGAUAGUGGGGGAUAACGCGGGGAAACUCGCGCUAAUACCGCAUACGUCCUACGGGAGAAAGUGGGGGAUCUUCGGACCUCACGCUAUCAGAUGAGCCUAGGUCGGAUUAGCUAGUUGGUAGGGUAAAGGCCUACCAAGGCUACGAUCCGUAACUGGUCUGAGAGGAUGAUCAGUCACACUGGAACUGAGACACGGUCCAGACUCC